AAAAUCACCACCUGAGGGUUAAAAAUAUCGACUGCUGUGGUGCAGACAUCAUCUGGCGACGUGGAAGUGAACAAUAUAUCUGUCAGCAGUGGAGAACUUGGUGAAGCAGAGAAUGAGAAAGGAUGAUGCAUAUGGGAAUGAAGAUCAAUCCUUUGAAACGAGCAGUUCAGAAGAUUUGGUAGAACCAGACCAGAAUGAAGGAGAGAAGGUAUUGCUGCAGAUUAUAAUCCAUUUAAUGACUACUCUGUGGGUGAGAUCGACUCGGAAAAAUCAGCUUCUCCUCUGACGACAGAUGAAAAUGGGGAAGAACAUUCUGUUAGUUCUGUCGAUAUAAUCGAUUCUGAAGAAUAAUUAUAUUUUUUAUUUCUCUUUGGCAUAUAUUUGAAUUCAAUUUGUCUGUUAGAAUGUUCGUAAUUUAAAAAUA